CUCCGUACGGAACGGCCGCGUCCGUCUCUUCCCGGCCCCGCCGCUGUUGGCGGAGCGGGCGGGCAGAGCGCGGAACGCCGGAUCGGCGGCCGCUCCGCCGCGCCGCGUCGCCUCCGGGGCGAGGAGAGGGGCGGAAGCGGCGCGGAGAGGGGGAACUGCAGGUCGAUGAGUGUCUGAUGCUGGGGGUUGAAUUGCCAGAGAGACAUCUUAAUAAAUAUCACGGUGUUCAAAGAGGGCGAGUACCGAGUAGCACCUGGGGAGUUAUUUACCUUUGCUCCUCAGCCUUGCUAACCUUCCCAUGCUCUCAGCGGCAGGUUUGCCAGGCUCACCAUGCUGGUCUGGAGGCCCAGUUCCCAGGGGCUUCUAUGAGGAGUGGAAACGCUGGAACCCCGAGUAUCUCAGCCCCGCUACCUGUUUGCAAAGCCCAGCACCUCUGCUGCCUUCUCUGCGCAAAGGCCCCCACUUCUUUGGAAAACUGCGACUCCAGGCACGCAGGGACGCUAUUUAAAAACCAGAGAUCAUCUUCUGCUGAAGGAGGAGGUUUGCUCGAGACUGUAAAGAAGAAUCCAGCCGUACGGCACGGGCGCAGGAAAGAAACUGUAGUAUCUUUUCCCCCAAAACCCUCAGCCACAGCCUCUGCUCUGGCUGCGGCUGAUUUGUGCUGCAUCAGGUGCUGCCUAGAAAAGCUUUCUUUUGUCAUCUGUGCCAGUGAUGCCAAUCGAUGUACGUCUCUCUCUCCCCUCUUCUUUCCCACAUGCCCGGUUCUGGUACCUUGGUGAAAAGGUCUGAGCCAGACAGGUGAAGAAUUGUGAGAAGGGGAGAAGAAACUGGGGAGGAGGCUAGAUUUGGGGGGCGGGCGGCUGUGUGUUGGCCACGGAGGGGACUGACUUUUAGGACUGUAUCUGAGUCUU